UACGUAGGGGGCAAGCGUUGUCCGGAUUUAUUGGGCGUAAAGAGCGUGUAGGCGGCCGGUCAGGUCCGUUGUGAAAACUCGAGGCUCAACCUCGAGACGCCGAUGGAAACCGACUGGCUAGAGUCCGGAAGAGGAGAAUGGAAUUCCUGGUGUAGCGGUGAAAUGCGCAGAUAUCAGGAAGAACACCCGUGGCUAAGGCGGUUCUCUAGUACGGUACUGACGCUGAGACGCGAAAGCGUGGGGAGCGAACAGG
rnacentral:rRNA from 1 species